rnacentral:rRNA from 1 species
CCUACGGGUGACAGCAGUGGGGAAUAUUGGGCAAUGGGCGCAAGCCUGACCCAGCAACGCCGCGUGAAGGAAGAAGGCCUUCGGGUUGUAAACUUCUUUUCUGAGGGACGAAGAAAGUGACGGUACCCCAGGAAUAAGCCACGGCUAACUACGUCCCAGCAGCCGCGGUAAUACGUAGGUGGCAAGCGUUAUUCGGAAUGAUUGGGUGUAAAGGGCGUGUAGGCGGGCAAGCAAGUAAGAUGUGAAAACUCAGGGCUCAACCCUGAGCCUGCAUUUGAAACUGUUUUUCUUGAGUGCUGGAGAGGCAAUCGGAAUUCCGUGUGUAGCGGUGAAAUGCGUAGAUAUACGGAGGAACACCAGUGGCGAAGGCGGAUUGCUGGACAGUAACUGACGCUGAGGCGCGAAAGCGUGGGGAGCAAACAGGAUUAGAUACCCCAGUAGUC